GAUCCUGGCUCAGAUUGAACGCUGGCGGCAUGCCUUACACAUGCAAGUCGAACGGUAACGCGGGGCAACCUGGCGACGAGUGGCGAACGGGUGAGUAAUAUAUCGGAACGUGCCCAAUAGUGGGGGAUAGCCCGGCGAAAGCCGGAUUAAUACCGCAUGAGACCUGAGGGUGAAAGCGGGGGAUUCUUCGGAACCUCGCGCGAUUGGAGCGGCCGAUGUCGGAUUAGCUAGUAGGUGAGGUAAAGGCUCACCUAGGCGACGAUCCGUAGCGGGUCUGAGAGGAUGAUCCGCCACACUGGGACUGAGACACGGCCCAGACUCCUACGGGAGGCAGCAGUGGGGAAUUUUGGACAAUGGGGGCAACCCUGAUCCAGCCAUGCCGCGUGAGUGAAGAAGGCCUUCGGGUUGUAAAGCUCUUUCAGCCGGGAAGAAAUCGGCGCCUCUAACAUAGGCGUCGGAUGACGGUACCGGACCAAGAAGCACCGGCUAACUACGUG
rnacentral:rRNA from 1 species